rnacentral:rRNA from 1 species
CGACUCUUAGCGGUGGAUCACUCGGCUCGUGCGUCGAUGAAGAACGCAGCUAGCUGCGAGAAUUAAUGUGAAUUGCAGGACACAUUGAUCAUCGACACUUCGAACGCACUUGCGGCCCCGGGUUCCUCCCGGGGCUACGCCUGUCUGAGCGUCGCUGCCUGUCUGAGCGUCGCU